GUCUAUAUAGAUUAUUUUUAAAUCAUGAUGCUGUUAACUUCAAGAAGGGGUUAUCCUCUGUAGUCG
rnacentral:tRNA from 1 species